rnacentral:rRNA from 1 species
AUUGAACGCUGGCGGCAGGCCUAACACAUGCAAGUCGAGCGGAUGAGUGGAGCUUGCUCCAUGAUUCAGCGGCGGACGGGUGAGUAAUGCCUAGGAAUCUGCCUGGUAGUGGGGGACAACGUUUCGAAAGGAACGCUAAUACCGCAUACGUCCUACGGGAGAAAGCAGGGGACCUUCGGGCCUCGCGCUAUCAGAUGAGCCUAGGUCGGAUUAGCUAGUAGGUGAGGUAAUGGCUCACCUAGGCGACGAUCCGUAACUGGUCUGAGUGGAUGAUCAGUCAUACUGGAACUGAGACACGGUCCAGACUCCUACGGGAGGCAGCAGUGGGGAAUAUUGGACAAUGGGCGAAAGCCUGAUCCAGCCAUGCCGCGUGUGUGAAGAAGGUCUUCGGAUUGUAAAGCACUUUAAGUUGGGAGGAAGGGCAGUAAGUUAAUACCUUGCUGUUUUGACGUUACCAACAGAAUAAGCACCGGCUAACUUCGUGCCAGCAGCCGCGGUAA